GCCAGGCCGCCACGCAUGCACCCCACACAGCCCACCCUCGGCUGCUCCUGCACGACCAGUUUGGGAGGAAAGGGCACAGCCCAGAGGGCGGGCCGCCCGAGCCUGCCCGACUCCCAGAGAAGGUUUGGACUUGUUAUACCCACACACCCAGAGGGAACCCGCGAUCACACCCAGACGGGGAAACAGCCGGCCCGGGAGGGACAGGGCUGCAGACAGGCAGGUGCUCACACAUGCUCGGGGACGGAGGCCCGGCCUCAGAGCUCGGGCUGGGGGUGUGCAAUCAACUGUCCUCAGAAAGAGGCCACUGCUUAAACUACUGAGGGCGCCAGGAAUCAGCACUGAACAGGCCGACGACCUCUCAUCUCUGACCACAGAGCUCACAUCCUUAUUUUUGAGAUUAGAUGAGUGGUGGCAACGCCCAGGAGAGCCAAGACAGGAGGCAGGAGACUGCAGCUCUGAGCCCACGGUCCUGCCUCCCCGAGAACUCUGGGCCCCUUCCCAGGAGGUGCUGGUCACUGGCGGAAGGGGGCCCAGAGGGAAAAGAUGUUAAGACUCCAGCACCGGGAGCAAAAGCAGCGGGGGGAGCCUCCCCCAGGUCCCAAAGCUGAGCAGGGGAGAGGGAUGGAGACCAGGGGCUGCCACGGCAGGAGGCAAAAGGCAGCCAGGCUGAGAUCUGAAACGGUUGAGCUUUUGUCUCCAAUCUCUCCGGUCUGCAGAAGCUCUCCUGGAAAUAAAUGAGCACCACGGGAGGCUCUCACACACUCGAGAUUAAGGCUAACUGAUUCACUGCAAGAAAAACAAGAGUUGAAUUCCUGGCGUGACUGUCUAACGCCGAAUCAAAUCAGCCUCCAGCUCCCCAGACAAGCCCCCGGCAGGAACGGGCUGACAUGCCCCCGGCAGGAACGGGCUGACAUGCCCCCGGCAGGAACGGCCUGGCCUUGGAGACACUCCUCGUCAGAUGGCAGGACACUGGCCCCCCCAAGACCAAAGCUCGGGAGGGACAAAGAAAGAACAGAUGUCAGGCUUUAAAUACAUGAGAAAGACAAUGGUCAUUUAGAAGGCUGGCAUGGGACAGGGCCUCCGUGGAGACCUGAACAGCCUCAAGCGGCAGCCCCAAGGCCUCGGCCACCGGAUUUCAAAGACUCGGUGUGAAAGAAGAUGUAAAAUAUCUCAUCAAUAAUUUUUUAUCUUGAUUAAAGUCACAAUAUUUUGGAUACACUGUGUUAAAUGAAAUGUACUUCUAAAAAUCAGUUUAAUCUGUUGCUUUUUACUUUUUUUAAACGUGGCUACCAGGAAACUUAAAAUUACACACGUGGCUUGCAUUUGUGGCUCACAUUAAGUGAACAUGCAGUUCAAAAUCUCUGGGUAACUUCUGACUCCCCCCAGAUUUAACUCUAACAGUCUGGUGUUGACCAGAAGCCUCACCAGCAACAGAAAUGGUCAAUCAAAUACAUCUUCUGUGUAAUAUGUAUCAUACGCUGUAUUCUCACAGUGAAGCAAGCUAAAGAUGUCACUAAAAUGUCAUUAAAACGUCACUAAAAUUGUAAGGAAGAGAAAAUAUAUUUAGAGCACUGAACUGUAUUUAUAUUAAAAAAAAAAAAGAAAGAAAGAAAGAAAAAGAAAAAAAGCCCCAGAUGAGCAGACCUGCACAGCACAUGCUUUUCAAGGGCUAACUAGACAACUGUACCAAACAGCCCUGGCCGAGAAGCUGGACAGGGUCCAACAACUCCCAGCCUUCCCAGGCCUCGCCCUGCCACAUCUCCUCCUUUUGAACCAGGCAGGAAGCCCAGGGCUGGCUCCCUGUCCUGUCUCCAGGGCCUCCCCUCGCCUGGCGCUUGCUUUCUCCUCUAUGGAGCGAGAGGCUGAGGCCCACUGGUCCGGGGUCUCCCCCCAAGCACUGUGCCAGCUCAGACUUCUCAUCCCGGAGCCCAGGGAGCCGGCAGUCGGAGAAGGAGAUGACCCUCUUUUCCAGGCGAGGACCCCCAAGCCCUCUCCAUUCCACAGAUGAGCCAGAGCUGAGGAACAUCACAGCGUUCGGGGACCGGUCACCUGCCUGUCGUAACCACCCUGCCUCUUGCCAGAAGACCCCUGGGAAAAGUUCAGCCAAACAGAAGGGAUGUGGAUCGUUCCCGAGCGUGAGGAGUCACUGAACCAAGCCCGAGCAUGAGGACACAUACUGCAGAUAGCGGGGGUGAAGAAACCACCUGCCGAAAAUGGGGACUCCAGAGAAGCCGGGCUCCCCCUCCAGCGCCGCGGCCCAGGGGAACGCAGGUCUCGACACCAGCACAGAGCAGCUCGUCAGACAGACUGAAGGGCUGCCACAAUCCUGCCCCCGAGCAAAAAAACCCCAAACCUUAGAUCCCGAGAUCACAGUCCCUUAAUAGCCGGAAAAGGUCAGACAAAAGGUUCUCACGAGUACUCUGUACCCCGUCAGCGUUCGUCAUCUGAGAUCUCAUCCGACUUACACCAGCUAAUGACACCGCAGGGCUGCCCUGCACCCGGGGUGUGGGGAGGGGGGCGCGUGCCCCUCGCGCAGUCCCGCCCGCCCCCCCGCCUCUGACAGCCAGCAGACCAGCAGGCUGGAUUCUUCCAGCAGCUGCUGUCAGGAUGCAGCCAGCGUCCUCUCCAUCUCUGUGCUUUGGAACAUCGAUAAAUUUUACAGCUCAACCUGGUUUCCGUCUCUUCUGUAGCAACAACUGUCUUAAAAAUAAAAUUAGAACCAACACAUAUUUUUGCUAUCUUUGGGCGUUUUCCUAGACCUCUGAAGGGCCCAAGCUUGUGAAGGCUGGACAGCAACGUGUUUCGAAUUCAGUCAUCAGCGAGCUUUGGGUAUUAAUGACUACAGGGGUGCCAAAUCGGCCCUCCCACAGCAAGGACA